rnacentral:rRNA from 1 species
GAUGAACGCUGGCGGCGUGCCUAAUACAUGCAAGUCGAGCGAACAGAUAAGGAGCUCGCUCCUUUGACGUUAGCGGCGGACGGGUGAGUAACACGUGGGUAACCUACCUAUAAGACUGGGAUAACUUCGGGAAACCGGAGCUAAUACCGGAUAACAUUUGGAACCGCAUGGUUCUAAAGUGAAAGAUGGUUUUGCUAUCACUUAUAGAUGGACCCGCGCCGUAUUAGCUAGUUGGUAAGGUAACGGCUUACCAAGGCAACGAUACGUAGCCGACCUGAGAGGGUGAUCGGCCACACUGGAACUGAGACACGGUCCAGACUCCUACGGGAGGCAGCAGUAGGGAAUCUUCCGCAAAGGGCGAAAGCCUGACGGAGCAACGCCGCGUGAGUGAUGAAGGGUUUCGGCUCGUAAAACUCUGUUAUUAGGGAAGAACAAACGUGUAAGUAACUGUGCACGUCUUGACGGUACCUAAUCAGAAAGCCACGGCUAACUACGUG